rnacentral:rRNA from 1 species
CCGAAGGGAAACCGAGUCUUAACCGGGCGUUAAGUUGCAGGGUAUAGACCCGAAACCCGGUGAUCUAGCCAUGGGCAGGUUGAAGGUUGGGUAACACUAACUGGAGGACCGAACCGACUAAUGUUGAAAAAUUAGCGGAUGACCUGUGGCUGGGGGUGAAAGGCCAAUCAAACCGGGAGAUAGCUGGUUCUCCCCGAAAGCUAUUUAGGUAGCGCCUCGUGAAUUCAUCUCCGGGGGUAGAGCACUGUUUCGGCUAGGGGGCCAUCCCGGCUUACCAACCCGAUGCAAACUGCGAAUACCGGAGAAUGUUAUCACGGGAGACACACGGCGGGUGCUAACGUCCGUCGUGAAGAGGGAAACAACCCAGACCGCCAGCUAAGGUCCCAAAGUCAUGGUUAAGUGGGAAACGAUGUGGGAAGGCCCAGACAGCCAGGAUGUUGGCUUAGAAGCAGCCAUCAUUUAAAGAAAGCGUAAUAGCUCACUGGUCGAGUCGGCCUGCGCG